UUUUAAUGAUUUUGGCAGUAAUAACUGUUGUUAGAAGAAAACCCAACCUAAACCUAAUUGCAAAUCGCAGAGGAGAGCGUGAGCAACGAGCUUCUCCUCCAGUGGCUUCUUCUCCUCUAUUGAUGCGAGCUUCUCCUCUAUUAUUGUGAGCUUCUCUGCCAUUGAUGCGAGCUUCUCCUCUAUCGAACUUCUGCGCUCUAUGUUGUGUGAGCUUCUUACCCUAGCUCGUCUUCUCCGUGUCCGUUCUCACUUUUAGAAUUCAAAAACGACAUCGCCGCUGCUCUGCGAGCUUCUCCUCCAUCAAUGAUUCUUCCCCUCCAUCGGUGUCAUGUCCAUCAAUGCUUCUCCUCUGAUGGUACAUUUGCUUCCAUUGAUGCGAUUUGCUAGGUUUUGAUUUUCUUCCUUGUUCAAUUUAUUUUUAGGAUUGCACGUUAAUAUUUAGAUAGAAUAUUGAAACAAAAAGACAAGUUGAAGAAACACAGUGCACCGGGAGAUUCCAGAAAGGAAGCUCAAGCAGCGCUGCUCAUAUUGCUGCAAUCAUUCAGUACUUUAUCAUCGGUGGAGGUAGCAAAGCAAGAACUGCUGGAAAUUCAGGAAGGAAAAAGUAACCUCAAGGCUAAGGAGCCACUUCUUCAAUGCAUUCAUGCUUACAGGGAGGGAGCAAGAUGACUACGAGGUUGUGAGGAAGGUGGGAAGAGGGAAAUACAAUGAGGUCUUUGAUCUGAGGGCGUUCACUCCACCGAUAAUGAAAAAUGCAUCAUCAAGAUCCUCAAAUCCGUCAAGAAGAAAAAGAUGUCGCAGAGUCAGAGUAAGAAACUGAUGCCGAAUCUGGAUAGGCAGAGCACCAAGGUGCUGAAUCUCACUGUCCUCCAGCGCUUCAAUCCCUUCAUCGCCGAGAUUCUUUUCACCGCCGCUCAUGUCUCUUUCUACGAAUUCAACAUUGAAACUAAUCAGUGGACUCGUAAGGACGUCGAAGGAUCUCUAUUUGUUGUCAAGAGGAAUGUGUAGCCUCAGUUUCAGUUCAUUGUCAUGAAUCGACAAAAUACAGACAACCUAGUAGAAAAUCUAUUGGAUUUUGAGUAUGAACUUAAGAAGCCAUACCUAUUAUAUCGGAAUGCGGCUCAAGAAGUUAAUGGUAUAUGGUUUUACAAUGAAGAUGAAUGUGAAGAAGACAGCAUCUUAAAUGGUUUUGCGGUCAUUUUGAUCUUUCACCUCUGUCACCGGAUAUGGUUUAGUAUGGGUAUAGAAAAAGAAGCUGAGGCUAAAAUACAAGGGGCAGUGAAGCUUUUAAAGUUCACUGGUUGUUCCAAAUUUCCAUUUUCAUUGUAGUCGCAGAAACAGAAAACCAAACAAUCAUCAAUCUUCAACCCUUUUGCAGAGAGAAAAAGGGUUUAGGACUGUGGAGUGUGUCACUGCUCAUUCUGGCUCUCCUGAACGAUGUAAUACCUCUAAAAUACAACACAAUUUGAAGUCAAUUUCAAGUUUAGAGUCACCUUAAGUUGAGUGUUGGAGCAAGAAACAAAGAUGUUGGAGCAAGUUCCUGGGAUGAAACUCACACAAGAGACCAAGAAACUAAGGCAGGCUUGUUUUAAAGUUAAUUACAAAAGGAGGAAAUUUUUGGCCUCCAAAUCUUAUUCAUCAUCACUUAGCUAAGCUACUUGUCUUGUAUUAGAUGAAAAAGACAGCACUUAUUAGAUGGUUUAAAUACAUUAUUAGACAUUAACAUAUUUUAGGGAACUGGAAGGGGUAGAUUUGACUGAUUAGUGUUUAUUGCAAUGUUUGUAUUUUGGCAAGUUUAGUAAGACAAGGUUUUGUAUAGGAGUUAUUACUUUUGAUUUUCAAUAAUAAAAA